CCCUAUCAACUUUCGAUGGUAAGGUAUUGGCUUACCAUGGUUUCAACGGGUAACGGGGAAUUAGGGUUCGAUUCCGGAGAGGGAGCCUGAGAAACGGCUACCACAUCCAAGGAAGGCAGCAGGCGCGCAAAUUACCCAAUCCCGACACGGGGAGGUAGUGACAAUAAAUACUGAUACAGGGCUCUUUUGGGUCUUGUAAUCGGAAUGAGUACAAUUUAAACCUCUUAACGAGGAACAAUUGGAGGGCAAGUCUGGUGCCAGCAGCCGCGGUAAUUCCAGCUCCAAUAGCGUAUAUUAAAGUUGUUGCAGUUAAAAAGCUCGUAGUUGAAUCUUGGGCCUGGCUGGCCGGUCCGCCUCACCGCGUGUACUGGUCUGGCCGGGCCUUUCCUUCUGGAGAACCUCAUGCCCUUCAGUGGGUGUGUUGGGGAACCAGGACUUUUACUUUGAAAAAAUUAGAGUGUUCAAAGCAGGCCUUUGCUCGAAUACGUUAGCAUGGAAUAAUAGAAUAGGACGUGCGGUCCUAUUUUGUUGGUUUCUAGGACCGCCGUAAUGAUUAAUAGGGAUAGUCGGGGGCAUCAGUAUUCAAUUGUCAGAGGUGAAAUUCUUGGAUUUAUUGAAGACUAACUACUGCGAAAGCAUUUGCCAAGGAUGUUUUCAUUAAUCAGUGAACGAAAGUUAGGGGAUCGAAGACGAUCAGAUACCGUCGUAGUCUUAACCGUAAACUAUGCCGACUAGGGAUCGGGCGAUGUUUCUAUCUUGACUCGCUCGGCACCUUACGAGAAAUCAAAGUUUUUGGC
rnacentral:rRNA from 1 species